UACGUAGGUGGCAAGCGUUGUCCGGAUUUAUUGGGUUUAAAGGGUGCGUAGGCGGCCUUGUAAGUCAGUGGUGAAAUACUCCAGCUUAACUGGAGGGGUGCCAAUGAUACUGCAGGGCUUGAGUACAGAUGAGGUAGGCGGAAUUGACGGUGUAGCGGUGAAAUGCAUAGAUAUCGUCAAGAACACCUAUAGCGAAGGCAGCUUACUGGGCUGUAACUGACGCUGAGGCACGAAAAGUGUGGGGAUCAAAACAGG
rnacentral:rRNA from 1 species